rnacentral:rRNA from 1 species
GAGCGAAUCCACUUCGGUGGACUAGCGAGUGGCAGACGGCUGAGUAACGCGUAAGAAACCUACCCACAGGUGGGGAACAACCCCGAGAAAUCGGAGCUAAUACCGCAUGUGGUUCCCUGUCUUAUGGCGGGGAACGAAAGCCUUCGGGCGCCUGUGGAGGGACUUGCGUCCCAUCAGGUAGUUGGUGAGGUAACGGCCCACCAAGCCGACGACGGGUAGCCGGUGUGAGAGCACGACCGGCCAGAGGGGGACUGAGACACGGCCCCCACUCCUACGGGAGGCAGCAGCAGGGAAUCUUGCGCAAUGGGCGAAAGCCUGACGCAGCGACACCGCGUGGGGGAAGAAGGCCUGCGGGUUGUAAACCCCUUUUCUGGGGGAAGAAACAAGACGGUACCCCAGGAAUAAGCCUCGGCUAACUACGUGCCAGCAGCCGCGGUAAUACGUAGGAGGCGAGCGUUGUCCGGAUUUACUGGGCGUAAAGGGCGCGUAGGCGGCCGGGUCCGUCGGUGGUUUAAGCUCCAGGCUCAACUUGGAGAGGUCCACCGAUACCACUCGGCUUGAGGUCGGUAGAGGAGCACGGAAUUCCUGGUGUAGUGGUGAAAUGCGUAGAUAUCAGGAGGAACACUCGUGGCGAAAGCGGUGCUCUGGGCCGAUGCUGACGCUGAGGCGCGAAAGCGUGGGGAGCAAACCGGAUUAGAUACCCGGGUAGUCCACGCCCUAAACGAUGAAUGCUGGAUAUA